AGAGUUUGAUCCUGGCUCAGGAUGAACGCUGGCGGCGUGCUUAAUACAUGCAAGUCGAACGAAGAGCCUUGUAGCAAUACGAGGCUUCUUAGUGGCGAACGGGUGCGUAACGCGUUGGUGACCUGCCCCGAAGUGUGGAAUAACAGUUCGAAAGGACUGCUAAUACCGCAUGUGGUUCUCCGGGUUAGAGGCUGGAGUUCUAAAGCAGUAAUGCGCUUCGGGAGGGACCUGCGUCCCAUCAGCUAGUUGGUGAGGUAACGGCCCACCAAGGCUACGACGGGUAGGGGACCUGAGAGGGUGGUCCCCCACACUGGCACUGAAACACGGGCCAGACACCUACGGGUGGCAGCAGUAGGGAAUAUUGGGCAAUGGGCGAAAGCCUGACCCAGCAACGCCGCGUGCACGAUGAAGGUCUUCGGAUCGUAAAGUGCUUUUCUGAGAGAUGAGAAAGGACAGUAUCUCAGGAAUAAGUCUCGGCUAACUACGUGCCAGCAGCCGCGGUAACACGUAGGAGGCAAGCGUUAUCCGGAUUUACUGGGCGUAAAGCGCGUGCAGGCGGUUCGGUAAGUUGGAUGUGAAAGCUCCUGGCUCAACUGGGAGAGGUCGUUCAAUACUACCGGACUUGAGAGCAGUAGAGGGAGGUGGAAUUCCCGGUGUAGUGGUGAAAUGCGUAGAUAUCGGGAGGAACACCAGUGGCGAAAGCGGCCUCCUGGACUGUUUCUGACGCUCAGACGCGAAAGCUAGGGUAGCAAACGGGAUUAGAGACCCCCGGUAGUCCUAGCUGUAAACGAUGUGAACUUGGCGUCGGUGGUGUAAAAACCAUCGGUGCCGAAGCCAACGCGAUAAGUUCACCGCCUGGGGACUACGGCCGCAAGGUUAAAACUCAAAGGAAUUGACGGUCCCCCGCACAAGCAGCGAGCGUGUGGUUUAAUUCGAUGUACACGAGACCCUACCCCAGUUGACAUACAGUUAGUAGGGAGCGAAUGCAGACCGGACCCCCAGGGAAGCCUGA
rnacentral:rRNA from 1 species